AUUCUAUUGGUCAUACAAACCAAUCCAGACACACAGGGACUAACAAGGAUAUGAACACCAGCAGAUGAAGAUCAUCAGUACCAUCUUGGAGGCUGGCUACCACAACACAACCCAGUGAUUCCAUGGAAAGCAGAAAGAAGGACAUAAAGAAACGGAUACUUGGUGACAUCUUUGACUCACUGGAUCAAACCUUGCCUGAAGCUCACAUUUCUGAAAUUUCCAGAUACAAGAACAAAUACUUCCUCUUUAUUGUUUUACUAGAUUUGAGACAAGCUUUAAGUUUCUCAGACUCUUCCUCUUCCUAACAGAUUUAUCAGAAGCUGAAAGCUCUGAUCUUGUUGGGAUGCGGAUCGUGUCAGGAGAAGGCUUACUUUGCACGCUUUUCUUAGUCUGGUUGCCUAACUCAAGAACCUCGGCAUGGCUCUGUUACUUCUCUACUCAGACAAGCAUCCCUGCAGACACUCACUAGGCUAACUCUGUCUUUAUUUUUAGAAUUAGACCUUUACGAGAAGCACAGUUUUGUCUUCAGUUUCCUCUCCCCCCACCCGGAAUGGCCUGAGCCGAAGCCAGCUCCCUCCGAGAAGUCAUUACCGCCUGACUUGCGUUUGAUAUUUAGACACCUUGGUCACAACAUCUUGCAUUCUCUCGGGAUGCUGAUUUCUAACUGCUCUUUGGCCUUUCCUGCAUUGGUCCUCCUCAGGCAGGGGAUCCCUGCUCUUCUAUAUUAGUGAGAAAACCAAGGCUCAGAGAAACUGUGGAUUUUCUAAGGAUGCUGGCUCCCCGUCCCCUGUCCACCAUGAGUCAAAGCAAUGUGAGUCCCUCACCAGAUGCAACUGCCCAGUCUUGGACUUUCCAGUGACCAGAAUCAUGAGCCAAAUAAACCUCUUUUCUUUAUGAA
rnacentral:lncRNA from 1 species